AUACCUUUCUAAGCCUUUUGCUAAGAUCAAGUGUAUCUAUUCUUAUCAGUUUAAUAUUUGAUAUGUGAGUCAUUGGCUCACAAUGAUAUUAAAUUAACUUUUUCGGGGAAAGACCGAUCACGGUAACUUGUUGCUGGGGUCUUCGAAUGUCGCCCUUGUGUCGAACUUCUGCUUAGGCCAGGCGCACCUAAU